rnacentral:tRNA from 1 species
CUAACUGUAGCUCAGUUGGUUACAGCGCUGCACCGGAAUCGCAGGCUCGCAGCUUCGAUUCCUGCCAGAGAGG